rnacentral:tRNA from 1 species
GCCGGAAUGGUGGAAAUGGCAGACACGCAGGAUUGAGGGUCUUGUGGCGACUAAAUUAGCCGUGUGGGUUCAAGUCCCACUUCCGGCACCA